rnacentral:rRNA from 1 species
UACGUCUGGGGCACGCGUUGUCCGGAAUUACUGGGUGUAAAGGGCGUGUAGGCGACCCCUUCAGUUGAAUGUGAAAUCUCCCGGCUCAACUGGGAGGAGUCAUUCAAUACUGAGGGGAUAUGAGGACAGAAGAGGGAAGUGGAAUUCCCGGUGUAGCGGUAAAAUGCGUAGAUAUCGGGAGGAACACCAGUGGCGAAGGCGGCGUCCUGGUCUGUCCCUGACGCUGAUGCGCGAAAGCCAGGGGAGCAAACGGGAGUAGAUACCCGGGGAGUCC